rnacentral:rRNA from 1 species
UACGAAGGGGGCUAGCGUUGCUCGGAAUCACUGGGCGUAAAGCGCACGUAGGCGGCUUUCUAAGUCAGGGGUGAAAUCCUGGAGCUCAACUCCAGAACUGCCUUUGAUACUGGAGAGCUCGAGUCCGGAAGAGGUGAGUGGAACUCCGAGUGUAGAGGUGAAAUUCGUAGAUAUUCGGAAGAACACCAGUGGCGAAGGCGGCUCACUGGUCCGGUACUGGACGCUGAUAGUGCGGAAAGCAGUGGG